CUUCUCUGGGCAGAGGGCAAAGUCCUGUCCAGCCAGCUGAUAACCAGCUCCAUUCCCCCACGUGACCAGCUCUCCCAGCGAGGGGGACUGAGGGGAGCCAGCAGAAGAUUUUUUUUUUUUUAAUUUUAGCAAAACUUUGGACUCUGUCUCUCCCCGGAUCCUUCUGGACAAGGUGUCCAGGGCAGAGCCGGGACCAUCCAUCCUGCACGGAGGAGGGCAGAAGAGACGCGGCGCAUCUGCCAGCAAAAUCCGUUUGUCUUCUCUACAGUACUGGUUUGUAUAAAUAAUGUCUGGGUUAGAAAUGAAAAUGUGACUCCUGUGACUGAAGAUGGAGACUCUGCCAGUGGAGGGAUGAACUCUGGCCCCGGAGAUCCUUGUUCCUGUGGGGAGGCGUUAAUUGGUCCAGCCAAACAGAUAGGAGUUUCCUCUUAGUUCUUACUGGAUGUUCUGAAUCCCUCGUCUGCACUGGGGACUCUCCAGUUUGGUCACAGGUUAAGGCCAGGCGACCUGAUCCCAGGGAUCUUCCUUAGGUCGCUCCUGCGUUUUUCCACAGAGAGGAAAGGAUGGCCGUCAGAGCUGAACACUGAGCCUGAAAAGAUCAAACCUAGAGUGGCAGCCGGGCUGAGUCACCAGCGUGGAGUCAAGGGGAGGAUUCACCGCCUUCUCCUCCAUUAUCCAAGAGCCCAGGGAUCUGCACUGCUAGAGAAGCGAUUCGAAGAACGAGUUCCUGUUCUCCAGGUCACCUUGUCUCUCUGUUCAUGGCACCACUGGGGCCGCUCUCCCUUCCCUCAUGGCUCGUCGGUCCCAAAGCUCCUCGCAGGGGGACAAUCCCCUUGACCCCAACUACCUUCCACCCCACUACAAGGAGUAUUACCGCUUGGCGCUGGACGUGCUCACGGAGGAGGGCAAGGAGAGUU